rnacentral:rRNA from 1 species
GAUGAACGCUGGCGGCGUGCCUAAUACAUGCAAGUCGAGCGAACAGACGAGGAGCUUGCUCCUCUGACGUUAGCGGCGGACGGGUGAGUAACACGUGGAUAACCUACCUAUAAGACUGGGAUAACUUCGGGAAACCGGAGCUAAUACCGGAUAAUAUAUUGAACCGCAUGGUUCAAUAGUGAAAGACGGUUUUGCUGUCACUUAUAGAUGGAUCCGCGCCGCAUUAGCUAGUUGGUAAGGUAACGGCUUACCAAGGCAACGAUGCGUAGCCGACCUGAGAGGGUGAUCGGCCACACUGGAACUGAGACAAGGUCCAGACUCCUAAGGGAGGCAGCAGUAGGGAAUCUUCCGCAAUGGGCGAAAGCCUGAAGGAGCAACGCCGCGUGAGUGAUGAAGGUCUUCGGAUCGUAAAACUCUGUUAUUAGGGAAGAACAAAUGUGUAAGUAACUAUGCACGUCUUGAAGGUACCUAAUCAGAAAGCCACGGCUAACUACGUG